AACCCUCCUGACACAAGUUGGGUACUCACUCGAUUUAGAGUGUAGAGCGAACGAGGGUAACUGAUACAUCUAAGUACCCUUAGGAAGAGAAAUAAAUUGAGAUUCCCGUAGUAGUGGCGAGCGAAGUGGGAAGAGCCUGGUAUGAUUUAGCUGUAAUUAUAGUAGAAAAAGUUGGGAAGCUUGACGAUAGAGGGUGAUAGUCCCGUAUACGAAAUAAUCACAGUGGAACUAAGAAUUCGAACAAGUAGGACGGGGCACGUGGAACCUUGUCUGAAUAUGGGGGGACCAUCCUCCAUG
rnacentral:rRNA from 1 species